rnacentral:misc_RNA from 1 species
UACGGAGGGUGCAAACGUUGCUCGGAAUCAUUGGGCGUAAAGAGUGCGUAGGCGGAUAGGCAAGUCGGGUGUGAAAGCCCUCGGCUCAACCGAGGAAGAGCAUUCGAAACUACCUAACUAGAGUACCGGAGAGGAUGACGGAAUUCCCGGUGUAGAGGUGAAAUUCGUAGAUAUCGGGAGGAACACCUGAGGCGAAGGCGGUCAUCUGGACGGAUACUGACGCUGAGGCACGAAAGCGUGGGGAGCAAACAGG